GAUGAACGCUGGCGGCGUGCCUAAUCCAUGCAAGUCGAACGAGGGUGCUUGCACCCUAGUGGCGAACGGGUGAGUAACACGUAGGUAACCUGCCUUAUAGUUUGGGAUACCCGCUGGAAACGGUGGCUAAUACCGGAUAUGUGUCUUCCUGGCAUCACAAAGACAUGAAAGGGGCCUCAAAGCCUCGCUAUUACAUGGACCUGCGGCGCAUUAGUUAGUUGGUGAGAUAACAGCCCACCAAGACCAGGAUGCGUAGCCGACCUGAGAGGGUGAUCGGCCACAUUGGGACUGAGAUACGGCCCAAACUCCUACGGGAGGCAGCAGGAAGGAGUAUUCGGCAAUGGGGGAAACCCUGACCGACCAACGCCGCGUGUAUGAUGAAGGUCUUCGGAUUGUAAAAUAUUGUUGUAUGGGACGAAUGGUAAAUAGAGGAAAUGCUAUUCUAUUUUUGGGGUACCUUACUAAAAAGCCACGGCUAACUACGUGCCAGCAGCCGCGGUAAUACAUACGUGGCAAGCGUUAUCCGGAAUUAUUGGGCGUAAAGAGUGAGCAGGCGGCAGUUUAAGUCUAGAGUUAAAGCGUGGGGCUCACCCCCAUAAUGCUCUAGAAACUGAACAGCUAGAGUGCGAGAGAGGUAAGUGGAAUUCCGAGUGUAGCGGUUGGAAUGCGUAGAUAUUCGAAGGAACACCAGAGGCGAAGGCGGCUUACUGGCUCGUUACUGACGCUCAGUCAAGAAAGCGUGGGGAGCAAAUAGGAUUAGAUACCCUAGUAGUCCACGCUGUAAACGAUGAGAACUAAAUGUUGCCGAAAGGCAGUGUUGAACAUAACGCAUUAAGUUCUCCGCCUGGGGAGUACGCUCGCAAGAGUGAAACUUAAAGGAAUUGACGGGGACCCGCACAAGCAGUGGAGCAUGUGGAUUAAUUAGAAGAUACGCGAAGAACCUUAUCAGGGCUUGACAUGGGGAUUAAAGCGCUAGAGAUAGCGCCAUAUACAAUACCACACAGGUGGUGCAUGGUUGUCGUCAGCUCGUGUCGUGAGAUGUUGGGUUAAGUCCCGCAACGAGCGCAACCCUUGUUCCUAGUUACCAGCAUUUAGUUGGGGACUCUAGGGAGACUGCCGGUGUUAACCCGGAGGAAGGUGGGGAUGACGUCAAAUCAUCAUGCCCUUUAUGUCCUGGGCGUCACACGUGCUACAAUGGCCAGUACAAAGAGAUGCGAUAUCGCGAGGUGGAGCAAAUCUCAUAAAGCUGGUCUCAGUUCGGAUCGGAGUCUGCAACUUGACUCCGUGAAGCUGGAAUUGCUAGUAAUCGUGAAUCAGCCAUGUCACGGUGAAUACGUUCCCGGGUUUUGUACACACCGCCCGUCAAACCAUGAGAGCCGGUAAUAUCCGAAGUCGUUAGCCUAACCGUAAGGAGGGCGGCGCCUAAGGUAGGACUGGUGAUUGGGGUU
rnacentral:rRNA from 1 species